UUGCGAUCUCGGGAGACCACCAGAACGC
rnacentral:sRNA from 1 species